UUUCCAUCAGCUCCUGUGAUCAGCCUUGCCCAGCACAAUCUUCCGCUGGCCCCCAGAGAGCUGGAUAUUGUACUGAUGUCAGAAACCCACUGCCCCACACAGGGCUUCUUCACCAGAUUUCUGUUAGAGGAGCAAGAAACUGCAGCCCUUUUUGGGGUUUUUCUCGGCAGCAGAUAACCGAGACCAACCUUCAGUAGUUGGAAUGUGCGCUCAGAAGAUGCAGGUUCCAGGUCCAGGCCUGUUGCUGACCUACUGAGCAACACCAGACAGGUUCAGCUCUUUCAAAUGUGGAUCAGGUUGAUCCUAAAUCCACUACGCCGUGUUUAACUCUGGAGCCACUUCUCCUACCUGAUGACUUAAGACUUGGGAGUGGAUCUAUCUGCCUGCUCAAACCCGAGGUGGGAGAAAAGGUGGCUGCUGUGGUGGGAUUCUCCCCGGCACUGAGCUAUUCCAACAAACACACAAAGCCCGAGUGCUGUCCUCCGCGGCUUUGUGUGCGAUCUGGCUGCGUGGAGGGUGCCUUUCAGCGUGCUUUUACAUGUGGUUUGGCCAUGCUGAGGCUGUUUCACAGCUUGCUUUUACAUGUGGUUUGGCUGCAGCCAGGCUGAUUUACUGAGAGUCUACAUGGAGCUUGGCUGUGUUAUACUGAGGUCUGCAUGUUUGGGAUUUUACUACUCCUGGACUAAGACAGUGCAGGUCUCAAUUCUGGAGAACAAUUUAGAUAAAGUGAGAAUUCAACUGGCACUGCUCCCUGUAGCACCAUAAUAAAAAUCCUCAAGCACUGUAAUGCCCUAACUUCCUCCAAGACAACCCUGGCUCCUGAAGUUGAAUGUUUUCUGUUUCAGAUGCAGGGGAUUAGACGUAAAUCCUUCCCCCCAUUUCAGAGCUGGGAUUCAAGUGGCUUUCAGCCACGUCAGCUGGUCCACCUUGCUGUGGGUUGAAUGUAUAGUCAAUAAUAUAUCACAUAAAGAAUGAGAAUUAUUAAACCUUUACAUAACCAGCAAUCUAUAAUCAAUAUUUCUCCCAGCAGUUUUAGCUGCUUAUAUUUUAAAGUGACAAAACUCCCUGAAAUUGUUAUUCCUGACCCACACAAACCAUGCUGGCAAACCUUAAUGAGUAACUCUGAGGUAUAAACUUGGAAGUGUUAUUUUGAUGCUUAGAUUCAGGCAUGACUUUUGUCUAACAUUAGCUCCUUUUGAAACACUUGUCCACAGAUUGGCCCUUUACAAACGGUAAUAACUUUUGUCUCUGUAGUAUUAAUCAAGUUAAUUCCUUUCAGAGAAAUAGCAUUAUUCACUAAUUUUUCAGUCUCACUCUUCUCUCCCCUGUACAUCUCUGGUUUUCAUAGCCUGGAUCAAAAUUCCCAUUACCUGCAAUUUUCUUGUUUUAUGCUUCCAAUGCAAGAUGGAACAAAAACCUUCCAGGCUUCCUAUCACAUAGCUGCCAGUACUGUUCUAACUUUGAUUUUCCUUCCUUUCAUGUGCAGUGACUUAGAUUGACAUGGACACAGGUUUUAUAUCAAUUGUCUCAUAACUUGUCUUUACUUUUGCCUGUCAGGUCUCAGAGGAGAUAAGGCUGGGAAGGAAAGGGGGAAUUACAGUUACAGUGAAUUCACUUCCAAGAAUCCACCUAGAGAGACAGAUAUAAUUUCCAGAUACUCUUGCAGGACUUGGCAACUUAACAGGUCAUUAGAUGUCACUUAAAACUUUAAAUCUCAUACCAGGGACUGAGCUACAAAAAGAGUCCAACAAGCAGAAUACUGUAAUAAAGCAAAGCAAAUGCUACUCAAUGAGCAAGCUUUCUAGAAAUAAACAUGCUCAGCAGAUGAAUUAGAAAAGGCAGAACAAAUCCUUUCACCUUUGGUCAGUUCUUGAAGCAGUACUUAUAGUGAAUCAUCAGAAAAAACAAAUAUUUUCUCAGUGAAAAUGUGAAGGAAACACUCCAGCCAUUAAUGCUUUGACACAGAAAGAGCAUUUGAUAUUAAAAAUUUUUAAAUGCUUGUCUCUAUUUGCUUUUUGUAGAUUUUGCCUAUUAGUGAAAGUAUUCUGCAUCUGGUCCCACUGCUGUGACCUGGAUGAGAGCAGCAUCUUCCAAGGAAGCUGAGUGACUGAGCACAGCAUCAUCUGGAUGUCACUGUAUUUUACCUUUUGUAUUUUCUCUCAGCACAGAAAACUUGGUACAACCUCCCUUUCCUGAGUCCAGAGUGGAAUUGCAGAAUUUCCUCUCCCAGACUGGAAGAAAGAAGGAAAAAAAAAAAAAGUUUAGAGGUCCAUUUUACUUAAUUUCAUGAAAUAAAAUUUUUGAUGAUCUAAAUGCAUCUCUUUUGGUUUCAGAACUGAGAUUUUUUUUUUCAGUUAGCAAUUACACAAAAAUUUACAAUUUCAGGUCAGUUUUCAUAAACAGGUACAAAAUUUCAUAACAAAAAGUAUUUUCAUUGAAAAUAUGAUAUGCUUUUAGUAGAAAAGAUGCACUUCAGAUCACUUUCCUUCUUUCCUUUUUUUUUUUUUUUUUUUGUUUGGUAGAGUUCAUGACUUGCCGUGUGAUGAGGGGACACUGGAAUUUAACAGCUUUAACUGUGUUUAAUUUAUCUUUGUGAUCAUGCUAUAAAGAGGAGAUGGAGACACCUGGGCCAUGGACUUGUAAAACACAGUUUUCAGAGAUAAUAAAUGAAAAAUUGGCCCCUUGUCCUCGGAGUGGAUAUGACCUCAGCUGCACUUACCAAGACCUGGGAUCAGGGCUCUGCCAUGCCGUGUCUUUGCUAGCAAGGGAUGCAGGGAACAAGGGUACCACAGGCAAUGCUGAAUCGUUCAACAAGGAAAGGAACAUGAAGAUGAGAAUGAAGAGCAAAUUCAACCUUGGGAGAAUGGACAUCCCUAAUCCCUGACAGAAAUAAAUGAGGAUAAUGCCUUUUCCAUGCACUGCCGUGAGACACGGGCUAAACUGGCUGCCACGGCAUUUCUCCAGCAGCCACUGCUCCACAAAUAACAAACCUCAUCCAGGCAGGGUGAGCCACUUAUGGAAACUUACCAGAAGCACAAAAAGAUUAUGUUUUUCUCUCCUUCUACCCAGUCAACCCUCCUGCUGGACACAACAGCUCUGCACACCCACAUACAAAUACACGUUGCUGCUAAUAGAAUGUAUCACUGAAUUCCAAUGACCAAACAUCCCCAGCAUCAGAAGAGCAGCUCACCAUGAACUGGUGUUUUGCACUGACCAUUUAAAAUGCUAUACAGAUACUGAAUCCCGGGAGCUCAGGGGAAAAAAGCCCCCAAAGGUGCCAUGUCAGUAGAUGAACUCAGAUUUUAAGAGCUUUUCCUAUCAUUUUUCUACUCAUUAAUGAGUAGAUUCAGUCUGUAUAGAAAUGACUUCCUAAGUGCUAAACUCUGCAUUGGACCCUGCUGUUGAUCGAGGACUUUGAAGAAAUCUGUCUUCUCUCCCUGUUCCUUUGCCUACAGAACACGAAUUUGGUCCCAAGACUAAUCCUUAUGUUGAAAAGAAGUUCUUCACAUUUCUCAGCAUUGUUUGAGAGUGAAGAAUACAUUGAGAAGGGUUACCCCUGUCUUCAGCGUGAGGUUCCUGAAUUAUAAUCAGGAGAAGAAAGACUUUGCCACCAAAUAAUGUAAAGUGCAAGUAAUGAAAUAGAGGAAGGAAUCAAGGUAGGAGACCCAAUUUCUGGAGAUUCCAUAAUAAUAGUUUAUUCGUUAUGGGGGAUAAGCCACACUGAAGGUGUUUGUAGAUGUGAAUCUUGACUGCUAUUUCUAAAAACUCUUCACCAUCCUCAUUUUAAUUGGAUUGAAGAAAGGGGGAUGCAGGAACCACAGAGCUGUAAGGACUGAGUAGGCUCCAAGCAGUUACAUGCAUAAAUGCCAAAAAAAGUCUUCUAAUCUAGAGAGAGUUACAGAUUCUGCCCUUUCCUCUUUUACUUCUGGCCUCAUGGACAGUACAAAUUAGCAGUUAAUGGAAUUGUUACUGCAGCACCUGGAGAACAUGCAGUGUGCCACUGGAGAGAAUUCCCAAAUAAAACUAUGUACUUGGCUCUAUAACCAAAGAAAUAUCACAGGCUUCAGGCCCUCCUGUAACACAGAAGAAAAUCUCACUUACUGAAUUUUCUUGCAAACCACCCUAUUUCUGGAACUGGGAUGUUAUCUAGCUAUCUGAGCAAUUACCGAAUGAUAUUAAGAGUUCCUCGGAUAAAAAUCAACUAGAAUAAAAUUCUUUGUUAGGAGGUGUUUUCCUCCUUCUCUAGGUUCUCUUUUCCUGUGAUUUUUAACAGCAGUCAGUACUCAUUAUAAAGUUUUUCAUCAGCACAUAAGUAUCAGUGCUGAAACCUGAACAGGCAACAAUCUGCAGAGAGAAAACCCCACACAUGCAGAAACACUGGGGCCUGCCUAACCUAGUUGGAAAACUCCUGAGGCAAAGGAAAGAGGGAAUCUAGGUGAAAAAAACUGCCUGUGGCAGUAUAUCCCAUUGGAAAAUUCAGGUUUCACAUCUGCCUUGGUUGGCUUAUAAAUAAAACAAUGAAAACAAUUCAACAGUUUGCUAUCCUAGUCUUACCCAGUUGCUUGUGUUAGAAAUUUAGCAGCAUUAAUAGAGAGGUUUUUUGACUGCUGAGGAAAAUUUCCCAUGACUUAUGCUGGUGUACACUCAAACAAGAACUCUGAACAUGGUCCACGUUUGAGGCAAAAGAGAAAAAUGUAAGUGCUUUAAAUCAAAGCACAGAAUUGCCGUGCUUUGAUUUAAAAUUCAUAUAUAAAUGGAUUUUUAAUUUGUGCAAGCCCUGGACAAGAUGCAACAUGACCCUCCACAGAAUUGUUCCUAGGCUUCAGUGGUGAGCUCCUGAUUACAAUGGUUCCCAUGUUGCACCAAAUUUCAGUGCAAUUUUGAGUGUGGGCUUCCAACAAAAAAUCAUUAUCUCAGCAGGUUAUCCUGAAAUACAUCUUAAUAAAUCACUGCCAGUAUUGAGUCUAAAAGGGGGAAGAGAAAACUUCUCACCAAGUUGUAACCAGUAGCCUUGAAAAUGAAAUAUUCCUGCUAAAUUCCCAAUAAAUUUUCUCCUGUGAGCAGGCUCCAUUGAGUCUUGUAGAUAUUAUUUCAAUCAUUUAUCAAUUUAAUUAAUAAUUGGUUGAUAAUUGUCUACAUAAUCUCCGUAUGGAGAGAGUCAACCCUCUUCUGAAAUGCUUUACCAUAGUCUUGGAGGAUUUGGGGUUUUUCCCCCUCACAAGAAGCAGAAGUAAUUUUUCUGUCACUGUGAAUAAAUGCACAAAGGUUUAAAAAUGUCCUCUUUUGGCCAUUGAAUGGUUUAUCAAUGCAACAGUUAACACUAUAAUACAAGAUUUGAGACUAGUCUUAAUUUUGGGCCCAUCAGAUUUAUGGGGACUAGUUAGCAUUGGCACCAGAUGGAUUUGGGUCAGGGAAACCUUAGGAAAAGCCAAAGCCUGCCUUCACAGAAAAGUGAAGGGUGCACCUUUUUCUCUUUCCCACUUUCCUUCACUUUAUAGCCUUCUCUAGAUUCAUAUGCAGAAGUGUAUAAGUUGUAUAUUCUUUUGUCUUGCCAAAAUCUGUUAGCAGAAGUCUAUUGUGUGUGUAAAUAUCUUAUCUUUUAAGAUAUACUAUUCGAAAUUUCCAGGAGGUAAAGAAAGGAAAAGAAAAAGGCUGCUUUUUAGAAGCAAGGAGUAGAAGACAUAAAAUUAAUUGCCAAUGUUAAGUAGAGGUGAGUCCACAUAAGUAUGAUGGGCCCAACCUUAGGGGGCAGGUCACAAUUCUUACAUUUUAGGGUUAAAAGGUUGCAUUGAUAAGCAACUCCAAAUAUAUGUAGUUAGGAGGUAAAUGACAAAAACAGUCCUUGGAAUUUCUAAUUCCUGGGCCAGGACAGAGUCCAGGCUGUCAAAAAGAUUCAUGGUACAGCCCAGUUGGGUUUUAUGGGCCCAAAUGGAGUCUAUUAACUUGGAUCCAGAGUCAACAGUAGAGGCCAGGACAUAUAGGUGGUGUAGGUUCUGAUGGAAACAUUUUCCCCACUGCUGCCACAUUAACAAUCUGCUCUUGAGUCCGAUAGAAAUAUCCCAACCUCCCUGACCCAUCCAGUCUCCUGGACAGAAUUGUCCUUGGCAUAUUCCUUGCUGCCCACCCUCCCUGAUUUUCCUCCAUGCUAUCCUGUGGAAUUCUCAAGAACACUGUGAAAUUAAGGCAAGGACUCAAUGCGAGACAAUUUUGCUGACUACAGUGAGCUUUUAUAGCCCGAGAAACAAGUCAGAAAAAAAACAUUGACCUUUCUCCCUCCCUGGACAUGAGCCACUCCAGAGCUUGUAUCUGAAUAUUUGGUUCUCAUGUAUAUUUAUUUACUUAGGAGUGGCAUUCCUAUUUUUAUAGCUUUGAGUUUUUAAUUUUCUUGUUAGCAGCAUUAACAAGGUUCAUGGCAUAUAAAGUGAGCUGUGGCAUUUAAAAAAUGUUGGUCUAAUGUAACACCAGCCUUUUUUUAUAUACACGUUCAAUGGCAAACUCCUACUGACAGGCAGAAUGCAUUUCUAUGUCUGGGCAAGUUUAUAGACGGUGUUCCCACCUCUGGGCCAUAAGGUCACAAAUUUGUUUCUGAUUCUAUUAAAGAAACACU